GCCCUGAUAGAGAAAUCCGAAAAACUGGUCCAAAGAGGAUAGAAGCCCCAGGUGGCUCUCGGGUUGCUUUCCGAACCAGGUCCUAAAUCCAACAACCGGUGUCCUUAUAAGAGGCAGAAGAGGAGAAGACGCAAACUAUAGAGAAGGCCAUGGCCAUGUGAAAACAGAGAUAAAAGAAGCCACGAGCCAAGGAAUGUCUAAAGCCAUCAGAAGCUGGAAGGGGUCAGAGCCCACUCCCAUAAGAUCUGACACAACCUUCAAAAUCUUGAAGCUCCUACACCUGCAUAACUGGGACAAGAUUGGGAUGUUCUUGAGGAUGACAGCAGCCCUAGAUAUGACCCCAACCAGGAUUCCCAGUGUAACCAGAGCAUGGGACACCAUGUUGUGGUAUGACCUCUGUGAGAUGGCCACAGAAUCUGAAGGUUUUUCACUUGCAUAAAGUCCAGACCCCUUCUUGCCCUGUAAGAAUCUGCCCAGGUGGGAAGACCUCCUUGUUCUCAUAACCCUUUGGUCUCUAGUCUGGCUUCAGAAUCUACUCUCCAUCAUUCUGCUGUCCUGCUUCUCACAAAUGAGCAAAUAUGGCACCGACUUGCAUUAAAACACCACUGUUGCUGGUA